AUGAUAUCUUUUUUGUUUACCUUAAGUAUUGUGUUUGUUUUAGUUGCUGAUUCAGCCACGGCACAGGAACCAGAACCUUUGCAGACCAGUAGAGACACAGGUGCUGAGAAUUUGACCAAAGCAGAGGAACCAGAACCUUCUCAGAGCAGUAGUGAAACAGUGUGUACAGAACCACCGCAGCAGGACCAGAACCAGCAGAGACAAAAAUCUACAACACAAACAAAAAAUGCAAAAAAGAUGAUAAAGAAAAAGCGCACUUAUUUCAUUGGAUUAAAUUUUAUUACAUGUGUUUCACAUGAAAAAAAGAAGCUGUUCUUCUGUGAACUGUGCUCUGUCAGGUGCUCUGUAGACCACAUGUCUAGUGUGGCCCACAGAAAAGCCUAUGUGCAACAUAAAUAUCCAGGUUGGACUGCAAAUGAUGCAGUCCUGGAGAAGAAGCUGAAUGAGAUUGCUGUGCACUUAGCAGCAGUGGAGAAAAGCACAGGGAUUGGGAUGAAGAAACUACAUGUCCCUGCUGAAGUCUUCACAGCUUUAAGGAUCGCACCGGUCAGUGAAGCCCUGUCUCAGCUGAAACUGCAGCAGGCUAAACAGACUCAGCCGGACCUGAGAGCUAGCCUUGCCCCUCCCGAGCCCAGCUGUAACACUGAAUCAGACUACACAGAGGAAACCAGUAAUAAUGUUGAGGAUCCUACGCUCUGUUCUGCUGCAGCGAACAACUCUGUGCAGCAAGAGCAAACCCCUGUACCUGAGAUGUCCGCGAUAACAGAUGAAUCAUCCAGUACUCUGAGUGGAAGCCAUUCCUGUUCUGUUUCCUCUGUUCCGGUCUCCUCCCUACUCACUAUAUCAAAUGUUCAUACAUUUGAUAAGCAUGAAGAUAUAUCUUGUGAUCCAUCUUCCACAGACAUCCAUACUUCAGCUGAAAUUUGCACUACACAUUCUUUAAAAACAUCAGUCACAGAGAGCAUUACAGCAACUUCUAUCCCUUUGCCCACUCUCCCACCUUUUGUCCCUGACCUGCCUCCCCUCCCCUUUUCUUCUGUUCAUCAGUCACUUCCUGUCCCUGACCUAUCCCCUGAUUCUCAAAUAGGAACAACCUCGCAGUGUCUGUCUUUAGCUUCAGACUUAUAUGAACCCAUCUCCCCUGCACCUGUAAACAGGCCCCUCUCCCCUGCACCUGUAUAUGAGCCGGUCUCUCCUCCAACUCUGAAUGAACAUGUCUCUAGUCACGCUUCCUCUGCUAGCAGUCAGCCCUCGCCGUAUGUUGCUCCUCUGUAUUCUCCUUCUUCUCCCACUCCAUCUGACAAUUCUUCUAAGUCCAUGACUCUGCCCCAGCCCUCCAACAGUCAUCUCACAGAGGGUGAAGAUCACACAGAUGAUGCUGGUUUGUCUCGUGAGAUAAGGCCAAGACCACAACCUUCCAAUGUAGAGUCAAAAGUGAUUACCCAGUCCAUCUAUAACGAGGAGAGCAGAUCAACACGCACGUACAGUUUUCUAAACUUCCCCACAGGUUUGUGCCGUCCUAUUCCAUCUUCAGUGCUGUACUUUUGGGAACUUACCAAAACAUGUAAUGUUAGGACUCAGUGGUACUGUUCUAUUUAUCAGAACUUUUGA
rnacentral:lncRNA from 1 species